rnacentral:lncRNA from 1 species
CAACUAAAAAUACGAAAUCAACACAAUCAGACCUUAUUAUCGCUACAAGGAAUGAUAUGUAAAAAAUUAUCCCUAAAAAUCAACACAAUCAUUCAACCAAUCAAUAUCCCUAAAAAUUAUCCAUUCAAUAACCAACAAAACAUACAAUUCAUACAAUUCAUGUUAUUCAAAACAAAACUAAACCAAAAGAUAAAAGAAGAGGAACCUAUUUGUUGUUGUCAGUCACGCUAUUCGUCCCACUUUUAGUCGGACUUUGAGUCGCUUUUUUGCCAACAUUUUCGGCAUUUGAAUCUCUUGUAGUAGGCGUGGCGAUGUUGUCGCGUCCUUGGCUCGACUGACCCUAAUGUAAAAAAAAAUUGAAAUUACAAAGAAAAUAUGAAUAUUGAUUUUUAUAUAAAUGUUAAUUACCUCAAUCGUCUCUCGACGUAAGUCUUCCCUUAGUUCCUUUAGUAUAUCCGGCAACUGUUUCCUAAUGGCCUCUUGAACUGCCUAAUCAAAGUCUUCUUUACUUUUUUGUUGUUGAAUUUCUAUAUAAUUCGUCGUUGUGUUCUGUGAAGUCGUCAUAUUAUCAGGAAUUGGUAAUGGCAUUGGAUCACUUGCUCUGGUUCCAAGAACACGACCUUUUGCCAAUUUCUUUGCCUCUUGUCUCGCUUUAUACAACCAACAUGUAUAAUUUAAUUGGACAUAGUUAUCAAAACAUUCACGAGCCAAUUGAAUGUCCUCAAAUGAGAAAUAGCACUACAUAAAGACGAAAACAUUACAUAUUGAAAAAAAUGACAUAUGGAAAAAAUGACAAAUAAAUAAAUAAAUCAUACCAGAAAUUUGACGAAAAUAUUUUCCUUUUCUUCUUCUUUCCAAGAAGUCCAUUUAGUUAAAGGUGACGUUAUAUUACCUUUUACUAAUAUUCCUAUUUGACUUCUUACAUUGUUUGUAAAAGUCCUAUAAAAAACAAUCAAAUUAAAUAAUAAAUUAUAAUGAAUUAUAAUGAAAAUUAAUACUCACCCGCUCUUAAGAAUAGUGGCGGGAGUUGGUGCAUCCGGUUGUCUCAAUCCUUUUGUCCAUUUUCUUCGAUGUUCUUCAUCGAAGCGGUCCUCUACGAUUUCUUCAUCUAUUCUUGCAGAUUGUGAUCGUCCGUCGUUUGUUCGUUUACGACUCCGUCCGCGUGCCAUUUCUAAUGCUUAGUAUAUGCUUUUAGAUCCAACAAAACAAAAGGCAAUUAUAUGUAUAUGUAUAAGUUUUUAUUAUAAGUAUAGAUGAUGUAAUGCAGAGAAAAGAGAAAUCUAUGUUUUUUUUACCCUAUCACUAUAUCAGUAACAUAUUUUGAACAUAUUGAUAAUAGAAACAUAUUUUGAACAGAGAAAUUAUAAUAGAAACAAAUGAACAGAUUUUGAACAUAUUGGGUCAAACAAGAGAAUUUUUUUAGGGAUUUUACAUAUUUUUUAGGGAUUAAACAAAUCGUGGACAAACAAAUGAACAAAUCGUGGAUUUAUAAACAGAUCUAUUUUUGUCCCAAACCAAACUAAAAGAAAAUAAGAAUAGAAUACACAUUACCGUGUAGGAUGGGAGUGCCGGAGUGGAGAUCGACUUGUGAAGUACAGGGAUUUAGCAAAUCACUGCCGAGAUUAGGGAUUUAACGUCGCCGUUGCCGGAAGAAUUCGACGUGAGAAAGAAAUAUCUGCCGGAAAAAAUAUCCACCUUUGAGUUUCCUUUUACAAGUGGAAUGAAGAUCGAGUGUGAGUUUAGUACCAACACCUGCGAAUUUGGAAUAAACUAUAUCAAAUUAGCAAAUAAUUAAAUUAAUUGUUUCAAGUUCCACAUUAAUAUGAGGUGGGGUGAGUUCAGAGAAGGAGAGGGAUUUGCUUAUUUCAGAUCAACUACAUAUUUAAGAAAGUUAACCUAGUAGUUAUUCACAAUAUUACAAUUUAUUAGUUUAUUAUUGUAUUUUUUACUAAAUUAAUACUGAAUUUCAGUACUCUUAGAAAUAUUCACAAUAUUCACAAUUUCACAAUAUUUCAGUACUCUUAGAAAUAAGGGUAGCAAUUCAGUAUUGUCACUCCGGAAGCUCCACAGUAUGGUUCUAGAAGGUAUCAAACUUGAUGUCUUCACAUUUCCUUGUGUUCUUAAAACAUGUGGAAGUCUAAAAUUUCAAAGCAUGGGGAAUCAAUUUCACUCCACUGUGAUGAAAUCUGGGUGCGAAUCUGAGCCUCUUGUUGGAUCAGCACUCAUUGAUAUGUACUCAAAGUGUGGUUCGAUUGGCGAAGCAAAAAAGCUUUAUGAUGGAUAUAGAGGAACUGGUUUCCAGUUGCUAGCCGUUUCAAACUCAAUGAUCUCUGGUUUUUCCAGUAAUAACCACAACAUUCCUGCACUUAAUCUUCUCUCCAAAAUACACAGAUCAGGAUUAGUUCUUGAUGAAUUCACUCUUUCCAGUGGUUUGAAGGUUUGCAGUAAAUUGCAGAAUUGGAAUCCAAAUGCAUGGUAUAAUUGUGGUGUAUGGGUAUCAUCUUGACCAUAUUGUAGGAAGUGUUCUUGUAGACCUAUACUUGAAUUGUGGAAGCUUCAACAAGGCCAUGGCGAUUUUUACAGGUCUUCCUCAUAAAGAUGUAGUCACUUGGUGUGGAUUCAUCAGUGGUUGUGUUCAGUAUGGAUUGAAUCAUUUAGCAUUCUAUCUAUUCAAAUUAAGUUAUGCUCGAAUUGGGUAUCAAACCAGAUCACUUUGUUUUAUCAAGUGUUCUAAAAUCGUGCUCUAAUCUAGCAGGGAGUCCUCAUUCCCACGGAAAGCAAAUUCAUGGGUACAGAGUUAAAAAAGGUUUUGAAAUAGAAUCUGCAAUGACAACAUCUCUGAUUGAUAUGUACUCAAAAUGUGGCGAAAUUGACAGCAGUCUAACUUUGUUUCGAGCUGUGAAUGGUGUGCUCGACACACUGUGCUGGACAGCCAUAAUUGCAGGGUGUGGGCAAAAUGGAAAGGAGAAAGAAGCAAUUGGAUAUUUUGGGGAAAUGUUAAGCUCAGGUGUGCAAGACAGGAAGUAAACGGUGAAGGAACUCUUACCUGGAAGUUGCCGGAAUGGACUGGAGGUAUCGCCCGCUGCUCGCCGGAUGGAAGUAUUUCCCUCACCGCAGCUCGCCGGAUGGAAGUAUCACCCUCACCGGACAGGUCGCUCGUCAGAAGUUGGAAUCGUCGUUGGUCAGAAAUCAGAAACGGGAGUGGGAGAAAAUCACAAACGGGAGUGGGAGAAAAAUUGAUGAGGGGAACUCGUUUGCCGUUGGGAGGGAAUGGGGGGGGGGUUUUGGGAUUUUGGGAUAGUUUUAAUUUAGG